UGUCAUUGUUCGGCCCUUUGGAAAGUUC
rnacentral:piRNA from 1 species